GUGACAACAAGCUGAAAGAUAAGGAGAAGUAAAAUGCUGUCUUGAGAAGCUUAAUAUCAGGAACAGAAACACAGAAGCUGUCCACAGUUAAGAUCGAGAAUCGUGUCGUACUGCAGCGGUCACAGUAUUUUGACUUCUGUCUGUAAAACACAGUCUGAGGUGACCAUGGACAAAAACCUGCCUGAUGCUUCAGCCACAAAUAGAAAACUGGUUGUCUUGAUCCUCGGACUCCUGUGUAUCCUGCAAGCUGCUCUCAACAUUUCCCUGCGUCUUGCUCUCUACAGUUCUGAUGCACCAGAUUGGCGAUGCUGUGAUCAGAAACCUG